rnacentral:rRNA from 1 species
CAGCAGCCGCGGGAAUACGAAGGGGGCUAGCGUUGUUCGGAAUUACUGGGCGUAAAGGGCGCGUAGGCGGCCAUUCAAGUUAGAUGUGAAAGCCCUGGGCUCAACCUAGGAAUUGCCUUUAAGACUGCAGAGCUAGCAGGUGAGAGAGGUGAGUGGAAUUCCGAGUGUAGAGGUGAAAUUCGUAGAUAUUCGCAAGAACACCAGUGGCGAAGGCGGCUCACUGGCCCAUAACUGACGCUGAGGCACGAAAGCGUGGGGAGCAAACAGGAUUAGAUACCCCCGUAGUCCCUGUCUCUUAUAC